AAUUAGUUUGUCUACUUUGGUUUUACAGAGUUUCGUCUUCUUUCCACUUUCAUGUGGAUGCUGCUUUUAAGCAGUCGAAGAAGGAACGCGCUUUUUAAAAAGACAUUUAUGCGCCACAGAUGGCGUCUCAUGCCGUAUUCCAGCUAAAAGAUAGUUUCAGGUAUUAAAAGGAGCCAUUUUCUACCGGACGAUUCACGCCAGUGACGCAUCAGUUGAAACCCAUUUUCAGGACAUUUUACAUCCACUUGGGCAGUCAGAACUUGAGAGCUGGGGUUAAAUGUAAUCCAAACUCUGCAUGGAUACCAGGAA